AAUGAACGUUGGCGGCGUGGAUUAGGCAUGCGAGUCGUGCGAGAACCGUAGCAAUACGGGGACAGCGGCGAAAGGGAGAGGAACACGUGGAUACCUACCCUCAGGUUCAGGAUAGCUAUGGGAAACUAUAGGUAAUACUGAAUAAUAUCUCCGGAUCAAAGGUGUGAUUCCGCCGGAGGAGGGGUCCGCGUCCUAUUAGCUAGUUGGUGAGGUAAUGGCUCACCAAGGCGAAGAUGGGUACGGGAUGUGAGAACAUGAUCCCGCUCAUUGGGACUGAGACACUGCCCAGACACCUACGGGUGGCUGCAGUCGAGAAUCUUCGGCAAUGGGGGAAACCCUGACCGAGCGACGCCGCGUGUGAGAUGAAGGCCUUCGGAUUGUAAAGUACACUGUCGUAGAGGAGGAAGUAGUAGGU
rnacentral:rRNA from 1 species